UGCCAGCCGCCGCGGUAAUACGGAGGGUGCGAGCGUUGUUCGGAAUCAUUGGGCGUAAAGCGCGUGUAGGCGGCUUGGCAAGUCGGGUGUGAAAGCCCGGGGCUCAACCCCGGAAAUGCAUUCGAAACUGCCUCGCUCGAGUCCCGGAGAGGAAGGCGGAAUUCCCGGUGUAGAGGUGAAAUUCGUAGAUAUCGGGAGGAACACCAGUGGCGAAGGCGGCCUUCUGGACGGUGACUGACGCUGAGACGCGAAAGCGUGGGGAGCAAACAGGAUUAGAUA
rnacentral:rRNA from 1 species